AGUAGCGCAGCAAUGUUUUGCAAAGUCAAAAACAGCUGUUUGUGCGCCCUUGACGGAGGUGCUUGUGUGACAAUGGCUUAGGUUAUGUUAUUAAUUUGCAAAAUAUAAUUAAAUUACUAAUGGAUUUAUAAUAAAGACUACUAGUGCCAGUGAAUAUAAGUGUUCUUUAAAAUUAGUUCUGUGCGUAUACAGUCUUGGUCAUUCAUCCACCAUUUAUUUAUUAACUUUGCGAUAUUUUGCGUUUUAUUAAUUAAGCCAUUCAAUUUCAUUUCUAUGAAUACGCAUCACUUAAAGACGUAUAACACAGAACUAACUAAACCCAGUGUGUGCUAGUUAACAUAUAGUGAUACUGAUGUACUUAAAUAGAAGAAAAGUACUUAUUUUUGAAUAAAUCAAGACAAAAUGAGAAACGGCAAGCGUCCUAGCAUAGAUGAAGAAAAAGAGGAAUUGAACCCGGAAAAAAAUGGAUGGGCACGAGUGCGUCCAAGCCAGCAGUUUAACGUGGUGCGCCGCGUGUACCAGCAGGACGCGUUGAACGAAGACGCGGACUACCACGUGCCUGUUCGACCAUGGAAAUACCACGUGAAGAAAUGCUUUCGCGAAUGCGGCAUAUCAAAAUGCAUCUGUGGCAUCCUUCCCAUCAUGGACUGGCUUCCGAAGUACAAGCUCAAGGAGUACGCGAUUGGGGACUUGACUGCCGGAGCAACUACUGCCGUCAUGCAUAUUCCUCAGGGGAUGGCUUAUGCGAUGCUAGCGGAAGUGCCCCCAGUUGCGGGUCUGUACAUGGCAUUCUUCCCAGUAUUGAUCUACGUGCUGUUCGGGACCUCACCGCACAUCUCUUUGGGGACCUUCGCUGUGGCCUGUCUUAUGUCUGGAAAGGUUGUAAGCCAAUACGCGAGGAUGCCAGAAUUAGAUAAUAUUAGCAAUAUUACAAAUGUAACGAAUGUUGUUACAGAUUCAGAGAACGGAUCUAUGGAGUACACUCCAGAGCAAGUUCUCAGCGUGUUAUGUUUAACCGUCGGCAUUAUGCAGACUUGUAUGUGGAUGUUCCGACUCGGAGCGGUAUCGACGCUACUCUCAGAGCCGCUGGUGUCCGGGUUCACGACCGGCGCGGCCUUCAUCGUGAUCGCCUCGCAGCUCAAGGACCUGUUCGGUAUCAGGAUACCCAAGUUGUCGGGGAACCAUAAAGUCAUACUUACAGUGAUCGAGGUGUCGAAAGCGCUGCCGAACACCAACUUGGCGGCCGUAACCAUCUCCUUCGUCGUGUGUCUCGUGAUAGCCCUGAACAACGAGUUAUUCAAGCCGUGGGUGGCUAAACGCUGCCGGGUGCCAGUGCCCAUCGAACUACUGGCCAUAGUCAUAGGCACACUCAUCACUAAACUUAGCGGGUUGAAAGAAAAGUUCGGUAUAGCACUCGUCGGGGAGAUACCUACUGGGUUACCCACGCCAUUCGUGCCUCCGCUGGAGCUCAUGCCAUCAGUAGCAGUAGACUCCAUCACCAUAACCAUGGUGACAUACACCAUAUCCAUGUCCAUGGCGCUUAUAUUUGCGGCCAGAGACAAGUACGAGGUGGAUUCCAAUCAAGAGUUGUUGGCUCUGGGCGCCAGCAAUGUAAUGGGCUCAUUCUUUUGCUGCGCACCGAUCUGCGCGAGUCUGUCGAGAUCUUACAUCCAAUAUCAGGCGGGUGCCAAAACCAAUCUAACGCAAGUAGUGAGCGCGCUGCUGAUAUUGUGCGUCCUGCUCUUCUUAGGCCCGUUCUUUGAGGACCUGCCCCGCUGCGUGCUCGCCUCGAUCAUUGUGGUGUCUCUAAAGGGGAUGUUAUUACAAGUUUUGGACCUCAAGAGGUUCUGUUAUCUGAGUAAAUUGGACGCAGCCGUUUGGCUUAUUACCUUCCUCAUGACUACUCUCGUCAACAUCGAUUACGGGUUAGUAGCCGGUCUAUUAGCGAGUGUGGGGGCGCUGUUCAUUCGCUCUCAGAAGCCGUACACCUGCCUGCUGGGGCGAGUGCUGGAGACAGACCUGUACCUGGAUAUCAAGCGGUACCGAGCCGCCGAAGAGCUCCCUGGAAUCAAGAUAUUCCACUACUGCGGCGGCCUCAAUUUCGCCACCAAGAACAUCUUCCGGGAGACAAUCUUCCGCAAAGUUGGCUACAUGAAGCCUGUCGACCUCACACCUGAGGACCACGACAGCAACAAUGGGACCAUGACCAAGAGUGAGAGUUACGUGUGGGACCCCAGUAUUGGGCAGAAGGUCCACUGCGUGAUAAUAGACGCGUCUGCGCUUUCGUACGUGGACGCACCGGGAGUCAAGACGCUCGUGGUAGUGUCGAAGGAGUUGGAGGCCAGUAACAUUAUGGUGCUUCUAGCGGGGGCCAAUGGUCCAAUGCUAGAAAUGAUCCACCGCUACAACGAGUCGGAGCCCACCAACCAGCUCCGUAUAGACACGUUCCCCACCGUCCACGACGCCGUGGUCUACUACAAAGUACUCGAAGCUAAGAGGGGAGCCUACCUACCCGUACCUCUCACUAUCAAUGAGUGACCUUACUAAGGGCCAGUUGCACCAACCACAUUUGACAGACUGAUCAACGUCAGCCGGCGCCCCCCGGCGCUUUACUAUGAAACUUUCCAUACAUAAAAAUUUAGCGAACUCUUUAACGAUCCGAACAGUUUGGUGCAACUGACCCUUACUCGAGUAGAGGUAGGGUUAAACUAGGGACACUGUUCAACUAAGGGCCACUUGCACCAUUUACUUACCCGGGGUUAACCGGUUAAACUUCGUGUUACCAUGGUUACUAGUACAAUUUGACACAGGGUUAACGGUUUAACCGGUUAAACCUGGGGUAGUGGGAUGGUACAAGUGGCACUAAGGAUCAAAUCAAAUUAACUCCGUGGUCUACUACAAAGUACUUAAAGUUAAGAGGGAAGACGACACAGUCCCUGUCACUAUCAAUGAGUGACCUUACUAACACGAGUAGAGGUAGUGUUAAACUCGGGACACUGGUCAACUAAGGAUCAAAUCAAAUUAACUCCGUGGUCUACUACAAAGUACUUAAAGUUAAGAGGGAAGACGACACAGUCCCUGUCACUAUCAAUGAGUGACCUUACUAACACGAGUAGAGGUAGGGUUAAAUUAACGCAGUAGUCCACUACGAAGUAAACGAAGCUAAAAGGGUGACAAUACAGUCCCUGUCACUAUCAAUGGGACCUUACUAACACAAGUAGAGGUAGUGUUAAACUCGGGACACUGGUCAACUAAGGAUCAAAUCAAAUUAACUCCGUGGUCUACUACAAAGUACUUAAAGUUAAGAGGGAAGACGACACAGUCCCUGUCACUAUCAAUGAGUGACCUUACUAACACGAGUAGAGGUAGGGUUAAACUCGGGACACUGUUCAACUAAGGAUCAAAUCAAAUUAACUCCGUGGUCUACUACAAAGUACUUAAAGUUAAGAGGGAAGACGACACAGUCCCUGUCACUAUCAAUGAGUGACCUUACUAACACGAGUAGAGGUAGUGUUAAACUCGGAACACUGUUGUCUAUGACCUUACUAACACAAGUAGAGGUAGUGUUAAACUCGGAACUUUGUUUCUGUUUAUUUGUGCCUGCUCAAGAACUGGACAAGCAUCUUUAUGGUUUGUUCUUCAAAAUGAAAAAGUAAUCGUCCUAGGUAGGCUAGGUAGGUAGGGUUCGGAAAACUGUGGCUCGCUGAAAUGCCAAAAACUGGACCUUUCUAUUAUUAAAGUUACUAAAUAUAACUAAGAUUGAUCUAGAAAUUAAGAUAUGCGCUCUUCAGAGACAAUCCUUCUCAAAAGUUUGCCGAUGUUUGCCGUUUCCUAGAGUCUAGAAGUACCUACAGUAAAAGAAUUUAAUUUCCGACCCAUUUGGUACAUUGUCUCAGUGACAAUAGUAUUGAGGUUUCUAGCGACUUUCAAAUAGACAAAGUACGAAAUGGGUCGGAAAAUUAUUCUACUGUACCUACUCGAAUUUUGUGUCAAUAAGCUUCUUUGUCUUCUAAGUGCCUCAAUAUCUGUAAGCUACAUGCUUUGAGAGAGCCAUGAAUGUAAAUAAACUAUAACGACUACCAGGAAUGAUUAAAUUCUCGAAUUACGUGUAAAUUAUAUUCGGUCAAAAUUUAAUUGGCACCGAUUGAUUAUUUUAUAUUUAUUUUUGAGUUUGUCAUAAAUAAAAAAUGAGAACUUGAUAUAUUCUUAUACCAGUAAGUUGUUACUUAUUUGUUAUAGGAAAAAUACUGGGAAAUCUAACCUAUAGAAAAUACAGAUAGUGUUCCUGUCUAGAAUAAUGUUUUAAUUGUAAUGCAAUAAGGAAUAGAAUUCCUGGACAAUAAAAUAAAAUAAGAAAAUUAUUUUGAUUUUGUUAGCUUAAAGACAAAUAGGUUUGACAAGAAAAAGUUACAAAUAAACUAUAUUCUUUUCUCAAAAUAUUACGCGAUAUAUUUGUGCUAAAAUAGUACUUUUGUAUUUAAAUUAUUGAUAAGAUGGUCCGUCCGGCUGUUAGUAAGUUUAGGUUUAAAGUUUAACGAGCAAUAUUUAUUAUAGUUAUAGGGGUGGUGGCCGAGUGGAUAUGACGUCCGACUUUCGAUCCGGAGGUCGCGGGUUCAAAUCCUGGCUCGUACCAAUGAGUUUUUCGGAACUUACGUACGAAAUAUCAUUUGAUAUUUACCACUAGCUUUUCGGUGAUGGAAAACAUCGUGAGGAAACCUGCAUACAUCUGCGAAGAAAUUCAAAGGUGUAUGUGAAGUCCCCAAUCCGCAUUGGGCUAGCGUGGGGACUAUAGCCCAAGCCCUCUCGCGCAUGAGGGGAGGCCUGUGCCCAGCAGUGGGAAGUAUAUAGGCUGAAAUUAUUAUUUAUUUUUUUAUUAUUAUUUAUUAUAAUCAAAUUAUAAAAUAAGUGUGCUUUUAGAUACUAUUCUUAACUUAGUUGACAUUUGGUAAACCAGAUUCAACUUCCAAACCUUUGAACAUCUCAUUAUAACAAAAAAAUUCUUGUAAAUAAAAUAAAUAGUAUCCGAAAGUGUUUAAUAGAUUGUUUAAUUUUAGAAAUGAGAUUCCUUGUCUACACUUAUUUUUUACUUAUUAGUUAGAGCAGAAGGGACACUUUUUGACAUAAUAUAUAAUAUAUGUAUAUACCUAUUUCAUGUAAAGCCUGUGCCAUAGACAGUCAAAAGUAGAAGUACAUAGUUGAAAUUAUAUAUAAAAGAACACAGAGAAUUACAAUUACAGCCACAAUAAUGUAUCCUUUGAAAUUGUUUUUUUAUUUAUUUAUUUAUUACUUAAUUUGCACAUUGGGUAAAACCUCAUUUUAGACUUGACCUCGUUGGCGCUAUUAAAAGUUAAGACGAAUGUCCCUUUUGCCUUAUAUUUUGGCCGUUCUCGUAUCUGUUCUACAAGCAUCUCCCGGCUGUGCUAGUGAUAAGUUCCGACGGUCAAAAAUUCAAAUGGUGCUUUUUCAAUACUAAUGUUUAUAAAAAUAUACUAUAACUGUGUUUCAGUCAUCCCAUACCGCAACGCAAUCAAAACGUGUAUGACACACAAGGCGAGUAAAUAUUUAGUACUCGCUAAGAUGAGUAAUGCGUAAAGCGGUACAACAUAUUGUAGCCGCAUUUUUGACUGCUGAAGUAAAUGACGUUAAUGCUCUGAUCCAUACAGAGCCAUAUGCUUCAGCUGUCGGCUAAUGUGAAAGUAUAGAGUAUUGUCAAUUACUAGAGGGCAGUUACAAUUUGGUGCCGUGACCAGGAUAAUUAUAUUUAAAACAAACCAAGCGAACUCUGAUUUGACUUUGCAGUUACAAAGUGUGGCAAUGCCACCAUCUAUAUCAAAUUCCUAUAAAUAUUGACGUUUUUAGUCGCACUGCCACACGUUUUGUUAAAGUCGAUGCAAAAUUUUAACUCUUAAGUAUAUUAAGUUCAUAUUUGUUCAUUGUUCAGAAGAAGUUUUGUCUGUCAAAUGAGAUGACUGAAGUCCAGUUAGAACUGUUAUUAGUACGUUUAGUAAAGUACGGUUUUUCCUACAGAUUAUAGCUAAUUUCAUACUCGAGUGUACUUACUGGUAUCGAUAUUGGGGCAAUUUUACCUGACUGAUUUUACAGAAUCCCUAGUGUACAUUUCGGGUCUCUAUUGUUUCCCAAAUAGUUUUAAGCCAUAAUAUAUUGUUUGUCCGAAUUUUCGUUAGUCAUAAUUGGUUUUUCUCAGAAACGCGUAACUUUUCAGGAUUGCCAUAAAACAAACCUAACCUAACCUAUCUAUAGAAUAACCUUACGAAAAUUCUGGAAAAUUAACGGUUUCAGUUUUAUGACUACACAUCGGUAACUCGUGGCAUUUAGGUAGCACUUAAAAGAUUAGUGAAGAGCACACAUCGGUAACUCGUGGCAUUUAGGUAGCAGGCACAGACUAGUGAUGUGACAAUGUUCUUCCUAUACGAGUCGAGAAAAAAAAACACUAAAAAACGGAAAUUAAUUAAACUAAUCUUUUAAGUGCUACCUAAAUGCCACGAGUUACCGAUGUAUAUUUAUGACUAACGAUAAUAUGACAAACAAUACAUUAUGACUUAAAACUUUAUGGGAAACAAAGGGCCCCGUAAAUUUCAUUCGAUAGCGUGACGAGGGUUCGCGUUUGCGUUGUCUAUUUUUGUAUGGGAUAUGGAACGGCGCGCCAAGCGGGACGUUUUGGAAACUCACAAUCCCAUACAAAAUGACACUUAACGCAAAUGCGUACGUCACGUCACGUUAUCGAAUGAAAUUUACACUACGGGACUAGAAAAAAUAUAAUAAAGUUAGUUACACAGAAAAGUAAAAUUGCCUCUUCGGUACUUUACAUGUAUUUUAAGAGAAUGUACAAUGCUUAUUUGAUUAAAUGAAUUUAUUUAUAGGUUGUUAAUUUUAGAUUGAACAUUGUUAUUGUGAUACUUAGUACCUAAUAUAUUUUUUGUACUUAUGUAAUAAAUAUGUUGAAUUAUCA